ensembl:lncRNA
GCGCGCGGGCGGGGCGGGCCCGGGGCGGGGCGGGCGCGCUCUGGGUCGGCGCCCGGCGGGUUGGGGGUUCGGGCCCGGGGGGCACCGGGUCGGAGUUCCGGGGAUUCCGGGGGUUCCGGGCUCCCGGGGCCCGGCCGCGCUCCCUCCGCCAUGUGGCCGUGCGGGGGGCGGCGGCAGCGCCGCCUCGGAGGCGUCGCGCUGCUCCUCGUCGUGCUGUGGCUGCUGCUGCGCAGGUAUUACCCCUGCCUGCUGCCGGCUGUUUCAGAGCCCUGUGAGAAUGCUCUGCUACUCAGGUAUCCUGUGAGCUUGUCAGCCAGCCCUGCAGUGCCCUGCCAACCUUAGUUCAGCUCCUUUUAGUGCCCCUGGCCUGUCAGAGGACAGGCAGGCUGUGGUUAGCAAUCCCUGUGAGCCACGAGCUCUGAGCAUCCUCACCCUCUGCUAACAAGUGCUUCUCACGUAGCCUAGGCAGCAGCUGCAGCCUUAGGUGUUCCUCUCCUCUCUCACUGUGAUUUCCUCCCAAAUGUGCUGGUCAUUGCUGCUUUCUGGAGCUGGGAAUUCAUUGCUCACAUCUGGCUCUGAUAAGGAACAAGCUGCCAUUGUGUGAUCUCUGUGUGUUGAUGGGGUGGGCUGAGGGAGGCAGUGACAGUGCUCUGGUAAAAACAGACACUGUCUUGUUGGUGAAAUGGGGUUUUGGUUCAGCCCAAGUGAGCCCUGGUUAGUGCAGGAGCUGACCUGAGAGGAGCAGUGGCAGCAGGAGGGAUCACCCUGGUGAGUGCUGAGGAGCUGCUGGCCCCCUGCCUCUGGUUCUUCUGGCAAAUAACAUUUUCAGGAUUAGCACAAACAGUGAUGUGGGCAGAGGUAAGUUUGUGGUGACAGCUGAUUUAGUCUCUCCUGGGUGAUGAAUCUAAUCCAGGGGGUUCAUUAACCUGAGGAAAAGGUUCUCUGUUCACAGGGGACAGGUGAGGGGGGUUAUUUUUUCCAUGUUUUGUGUUGGAAGGUACCAGAGUCCCCAAGAGAUUUGGGAUGGCAGUGAUGAGAUGCAGCUGCUGUUGGAACAUGGGUCUCGAAAUCAGCCAUGUGCCCUCCUACUGCAAAGGGAGAUGUUGGAUUCCAUAGGUUAGGGAAGUGUUUGUGAGUAUUGUGAGUGAAACCUUGCCCAUCCAUGAUUUCAGCAAGUGAUUUUCAUGCUCUGUGCCUGAGCAGUGUCAGCUGUAGAGCUUUGCUUGGGGGUUCAGGGGGGAAGCAGGCAGUGAAAUAGAUUUAAAUCUAUAUUUGGGAAGAUCCCCCAAACUAGCUUAGAGCCUUCUGAACCAUCUCUGUGCUCUGUAGGAACAAGAGUGUGGCUUACUUGAGAAGCAGGAAGGUCAGAGCUGGUCUCAAGCUGCACCAAGAGAAAUACAGGUUGGAUAUCAGGAAAAAGUGAUAAAGUUCUGGAAUGUUCUGCCCGGGGAAGUGGUGGAGUCACCAUCCCUGGGUGUGUUUAACAAAGCCUGGAUGUGGCACUGGGUGCCAGGGGCUAGUUGAGCUGUUGGGGCUGGGUUCAACUCGAUGAUCUUUAAAGUCUCUUCCUGUUGCAGAGAGAGGGAGGAAAAGGGCCAGGAGAGGUUUGGUCUCCCUGGCACAGCUUAACACAGAGAUUCAAAGUGGGCACAGAAUAAGACUUUGGCCAAUGGGAUUACAGAUCCAUGAUACUUCAGGGGAGGGUCACAGGCUUGGAAUAAACCCUACAUUUUUAAGAGGUGAGACA